CCCUAUCACACUGAAAUACAAACAGCUGGAAUUACAUUUGAUUUUCAUCAAGUAUAUUUGAAUGAUCUUUCAAAUGGCAGCAGUAUCAAUGCUCCUUGUCAGUAUUUCCAAAAACAGUUUCUCAUGUUGUGGUUUCAUGGCUCUUUUAAUUGCAAAUUAGGCUAACCAGAUUCUUAUGCUGCUUUGGGGAAAAAAAAAGAAAAAAAAUACCUCCCACAGAAAUGUCUUUGAGAACUUAUAUAAGUGAGGGUUCCAUAAAUAUGUAAGCCAAAAGAUUUGAUUUGGUUAAAGAGCUAUAGAAAACUGAAGUUUUCAACAGUCCCAUUCCUGUGCUAUCACUGGUUUUCCCAAAUUGCUAGCAAUGAGCUUUUGGUGUGAGUCCAAGUUAAACUCUGCCAUCCUUCCUCGGAUUCCUUCAUAGGCUAAGUAUCAAGCUGAAACUUCCCUCACUCAAGAGCCUGUACCUUUACUGACAUUGUGUCAGUGUUUUACUUUCAGCAACACUUCCAUCCUCUUCUUGGGAAUGGUCUUUUCUGUGCGUUACAGUCCUAUUGAAGGGCUGUGUAAGAAUCUACUGAAGACUUUUCAGCUAUGACCUUGUGGCCCUCAAGUGGGUGUUCAAGUUUCUCAAGAAUCCUCAAACAUCCAGAGUAAGAGCUACGAAUGGAAAUGCAAGGCUGCUGAAAAGGAGAGAAAACCAACAUUAAAACAUCCGAAAAAUAUGCUUGCAAAUCUGUGUACCAUUUCAGAAAUGAGUCUAAAGGGAUUUCAUCCAUCAAACGGAACAAUAUAAUGACUUUUGAUCUCUACUAAAGUGGUGAGAGAAUGGAAAUAAGAAAAAAAAAGAAGGAAAAAAAGCAGUAGAGAAGAGAGAGAAUGAAGGAAGCUGAGUCUGGAGACUGUCUUUCCUGCUGACGGUGAAUGAAGACUGCAAUAUUCUCUGCUGCAAGUCCAUCUGCUCUUGAACCUCUCUUAAAAAGAUCUAUCUAACAAUAUUCUUCCUUUGGAGUUUCCAGUGCUGCUUAUGAAGACUUGAAAGCAGA
rnacentral:lncRNA from 1 species